CACAACUGGCUUGAGCGAUUGGAAACAAGAUGCAGGACCCCAGGGCAGACACUGAGUGGAAUGACAUCUUACGCAAAAAGGGCAUCUUGCCCCUAAGGAAAGUCUGAAAGAAUUGGAAGAGGAGGCAGAGGAGGAGCAGCACAUGGUCCAGCAGUCAGUGGUGACAACAUAUGAAGCUAUGACUUUGGAAGAGCUGAAGGAUCAUGAAGACGAGUUUCAUGAGGAAGAUGAACGUGCUAUUGAAAUGUACAGACAGCAGAGACUGGCUGAGUGGAAAGCAACUAAACUGAAGAAUAAAUUUGGAGAAGUUUUGGAGAUCUCAGGGAAGGAUUAUGUUCAAGAAGUAACCAAAGCCGGUGAGGGCUUGUGGGUCAUCUUGCACCUUUACAAACAAGGAAUUCCCCUCUGUGCCCUGAUAAAUCAGCACCUCAGUGGACUUGCCAGCAAGUUUCCUGAUGUCAAGUUUAUCAAAGCCAUUUCAACAACCUGCAUACCCAAUUAUCCUGAUAGGAAUCUGCCCACGAUAUUUGUUUACCUGGAAGGUGAUAUCAAGGCUCAGUUUAUUGGCCCUCUGGUGUUUGGUGGCAUGAACCUGACAAGAGAUGAGUUGGAGUGGAAACUGAAUCUGGAGCAAUUAAUACGGACUUGGAGGAAAACCCUAAGAUGCAGAUUGAAGACGUGUUGCUGUCCUCACUGCGGCGCUCUGUUCCCAUGUGGAGGGACAGCGAUUCCGAGGGGGACUGAGGCUGUAGCUGCUAUCACGUGCCGAACUUUCUGUGACAAAUUGAAUUUUUUAAAAAAGGAAAAAGCAAGAAUGAAUCCUUCUGAUUU